UAAUACAUGUGUCGUAAAAUUAAAUAUUUAAAUAUAAGAUUUAAAUUUAUAAAUUAAACUUAAAAUUUUUAGUUUCUAAUUUAAAUAUAUAUAGUUAUUGAAGAUAUAAAUUUAUUUAUUAAUUAAUCUAUUUUUUAAACUUAAUGGGAAACGGAACGGCGUGUAAAGUUUUGAAAGUCGGCACGGUAAAGAUCUUAAUGCACAAUGGAAUCAUGAGGACGCUGAUAGAUGUGCGGCAUGUUCUUGAUUUGAAGUAAAAUUUGAUCUCGUUAGGCACGUUAGAUUCGAAGGGUUACGUUUUUCGGUUUCAGGUGAAAUUAUGACGGUCUGAAAGCGAGAUCAGGUCAUGUGCUAGGCAACAAAACACUUAUUUCUGAUAGCUUAAACUUUCAAAGAACUAUACUCGUUCCACAUAAUAUAACACUUAAAUAUUAAAAAUAUUAUAUUUUCGUAUCAUAAGCAUUUAAGAGAAUAAUGAUUAUUUUACAUAACUGUCGAGCCCUAAACCA
rnacentral:lncRNA from 1 species